AAAUAUAAGCUAUACAGGUUUUAUCUUAAUUAAGGUCAGGUACAUCUGACACAACCCGAAACACGACGAUGCCAUUGCUGACAUGAUUAAUUGAAGCACAACUCGGUUAUCACCAAAGGACUUCUCUACUAAGAUUACAAACCUUUCCGUUUAUACAAUUUAUUGAAUCAUAAAUUAAUAAAUUUUGGAAUGACAUAGAAUUGACAUGUUAACUAGUGGUGUUGCCACAAACCCAAAUUUGCCAACAAAAAAUUGACAUGUUAACCAUCUGCAAAUAUAAUUAGCAACAUUGGUGCCUCUCGGUCCAAAGUCUGCAUCUAGAUUAGGUCUUUGUUAUCUUCCUCCUUUCAUAUUCAAAUUCCAACUUGGUUUUGGUUUUGCACUACCAUCAAAACCAAAAUCAAACAUGUUGCUUGGUGCUAUGUUGCUAGGAAAGCCACGAAUCUCCGAAUAUUCAGAGGAUCUAGGAAUAUUAAGUUUUGGCUCCCAAAUUGGACGAAGAGGCAUAUUACUGACAUUUGCAUGUAUUCCAGCAGUCAUGCUGCUGCUGGGGCCAAUUUGUUGUGUGCCUAGCCACCUCUCCCACAAACACUUGGCAUAUUGAAUGGUGAUUGAUUAAACUAUCACGCCUGCAAAAGGAGUUAGUUACGCUUUGAUUCAUCCAAACUUUACCAAUGCAUGCAUAUACCAACUAAUAUAAAUAUGAAUCAUAUAUAUUAGCAAUUGAAUUUAUUUUCUUAUAUACAAACCAAUAGUAAAGGUAUGGACAAAAUUU
rnacentral:lncRNA from 1 species